CAGAUCCUGACAUCCUUCUGAAAAAUCCUUAGCCGGAUUCCUCCUUCGGGACAGAAGAGACAGGUGGUGCAUGGUUGUCGUCAGCUCGUGUCGUGAGAUGUUGGGUUAAGUCCCGCAACGAGCGCAACCCUUGUGUUUAGUUGCCAACAGGUUAAGCUGUGCACUCUAAACAGACUGCCGUGGAUAACACGGAGGAAGGUGGGGAUGACGUCAAACCAUCAUGCCCCUUAUGUUCUGGGCUACACACGUGCUACAAUGGCUGGUACAAAGAGAAGCAAGACGGUGACGUGGAGCAAAUCUCAAAAACCAGUCCCAGUUCGGAUUGUAGGCUGAAACUCGCCUACAUGAAGUUGGAGUUGCUAGUAAUCGCAGAUCAGAAUGCUGCGGUGAAUGCGUUCCC
rnacentral:rRNA from 1 species